UACGUAGGGAGCAAGCGUUGUCCGGAAUCAUUGGGCGUAAAGCGCGCGUAGGUGGCCCCAUAAGUCCGCUGUGAAAGUCAAAGGCUCAACCUUUGAAAGCCGGUGGAUACUGUGGGACUAGAGUACGGAAGAGGCGAGUGGAAUUCCUGGUGUAGCGGUGGAAUGCGCAGAUAUCAGGAGGAACACCAAUAGCGAAGGCAGCUCGCUGGGACGUUACUGACACUGAGGCGCGAAAGCUAGGGGAGCAAACGGG
rnacentral:rRNA from 1 species